rnacentral:rRNA from 1 species
UACAGAGGGUGCGAGCGUUAAUCGGAAUUACUGGGCGUAAAGGGCGCGUAGGCGGUUAUAUAAGUUGAAUGUGAAAUCCCUGGGCUUAACCUAGGAACUGCAUGCAAGACUGUAUGACUAGAGUGCUGUAGAGGGUAGUGGAAUUUCCGGUGUAGCGGUGAAAUGCGUAGAUAUCGGAAGGAACACCAGUGGCGAAGGCGGCUACCUGGACAGACACUGACGCUGAGGCGCGAGAGCGUGGGGAGCAAACAGG